AAAAAACAAAAAAUUUUUGUAUCUUAGAAACUGUGAAAUUUCAAUUAUGCUUCUGCCUGCCAACUUCCAUUGUGUGCUCUGUUUUCUUUAGCAAUCUGCCUCUCUGCUUUUUUUCCUGCUCUCAAACUACACUCUCUUAGAAGUUGCUUCCAAGUUCCAUUGUUUUGUGCUCUCAAACUACACCCCCUUUUUUCUCUUUCUGCUCCUAAACUACAAUCUCUGAGUUUUCAAGGGUUAACUAGAAUUCCCUAUUUUAAAAGUUUCGAAAAAACAAAUAAAACGGAGUUUGCUGUCGUUCUUUUGGCUUCUUCGAUCUCAUUUUGAAUUUAUUUUCCCCCUUAUCUUGAAAGAAGAAGGAGAAGAAG
rnacentral:misc_RNA from 1 species